rnacentral:rRNA from 1 species
GAUGAACGCUGGCGGCGUGCCUAAUACAUGCAAGUCGAGCGAACAGACGAGGAGCUUGCUCCUCUGACGUUAGCGGCGGACGGGUGAGUAACACGUGGAUAACCUACCUAUAAGACUGGGAUAACUUCGGGAAACCGGAGCUAAUACCGGAUAAUAUAUUGAACCGCAUGAUUCAAUAGUGAAAGACGGUUUUGCUGUCACUUAUAGAUGGAUCCGCGCCGCAUUAGCUAGUUGGUAAGGUAACGGCUUACCAAGGCAACGAUGCGUAGCCGACCUGAGAGGGUGAUCGGCCACACUGGAACUGAGACACGUUCCAGACUCCUACGGGAGGCAGCAGUAGGAAAUCUUCCGCAAUGGGCGAAAGCCUGACGGAGCAACGCCGCGUGAGUGAGGAAGGCCUUCGGUUCGUAAAACUCUGUUAUUAGGAAAGAACAAAUGGGUAAGAAACUAUGCACUUUUUGACGGUACCUAAUCAAAAAGCCCCGGCUAACUACGU